AAUUAACGCUGGCGGCGUGCCUAACACAUGCAAGUCUAACGAGAAAGUUCUUCGGAAUGAGUAAAGUGGCGGACGGGUGAGUAACACGUAGGUAACCUGCCCUCGAGAAGGGGAUAACAUGCCGAAAGGCGUGCUAAUACCAUAUAAUGUCACGAGAACUAUGGUUUUGUGAUCAACGGAUGGCCUCUAUUUAUAAGCUAUCGCUUGAGGAUGGCCGUGCGUACCAUUAGCUAGUUGGUAGGGUAACGGCCUACCAAGGCUGUGAUGGUUAGCUGGUCUGAGAGGACGACCAGCCACACUGGAACUGAGACACGGUCCAGACUCCUACGGGAGGCAGCAGUGGGGAAUCUUGGACAAUGGGGAAACCCUGAUCCAGCAACGCCGUGUGAGCGAU
rnacentral:rRNA from 1 species